rnacentral:snRNA from 1 species
UGACUCUGGUUUCUCUUCAUUACGCACAAGCCUUUCGCCUUUUACUAAAGACUUCCGUGGAGAGGAACACUUACGAGUUCAACGUAUUUUUGGAGCGGCUUGCUUCUUGCAGAGCCC